UAACUAAGAUGAAAACGAUAG
rnacentral:piRNA from 1 species